GUGAAAAAUGAAUGCGAAUGUUUCUGAAACAUGUAAAGUUGUAAAAUGUGAUGCAAGCUUAUAUAAUAUACAAGAACAUGAUGGCUUCAUUUUUAGUACUGAAAGUUCAGCAGGAUCCUUACAUUAUCAAUGCAUGCGGAGUAACCAAACCAUUUGUGGAAAUUUAAGUCUCCCUUGUAAAGGAUAUCAAAAUUGGCCUUACCAUGUGGUGUUUGUCUUCAAUACUCUCGUUUUGCUCUUGAGUGGAAUAAUCAACAUACUGCUAUGUAAAAGACUGAGAAGACAGAGUGAAUUGCAUGCAGACACAGCAGAGCCUGAUGUCAGUUCUUCUCAUAAUCAAGAUAGUCUGAACCUAAACUACACAACCCUACAAUUCCCUGAAAACAAUGUCAGUGGAGAAAGUUCGUUGAUUGAGCGAAGAAUGACGAGAAAGGAUACUAUUUACUCCAGCCUUAAAUGUCAAAUGUCGGACAUCACUGAAGAAAGCUAA
ensembl:lncRNA